rnacentral:rRNA from 1 species
CGGCACGGGUGAGUAACGCGUGGAUAAUCUACCCUUAAGAUGGGGAUAACGGCUGGAAACGGUCGCUAAUACCGAAUACGCUCCCGAUUUUAUCAUUGGGGGGAAAGAUGGCCUCUGCUUGCAAGCUAUCGCUUAAGGAUGAGUCCGCGUCCCAUUAGCUAGUUGGCGGGGUAACGGCCCACCAAGGCAACGAUGGGUAGCCGGUCUGGGAGGAUGACCGGCCACACUGGAACUGGAACACGGUCCAG